GAUUCCCUUAUGGUGUUUUUGUGUGAAUGGAGCUUUGAAGACAAAGAGUAUUAUUAGAACUUUUGGACGAUUUACAGAAGAAGCAAGGAGAGAUUAUCAUCUCCAGGUGCUCAGUUUGGACUGUUUUAGUAAUUAGGAUCAGCGGUAGGGUGCGGAGCACCAGGUGAGUUCUCUUACAUAAACUUUAAUCAAGAUGUGAUCGUUUAUGAAUGUUUUAAAGUACCGAUCAUGGUUUUAUGC